UUCUAUAUCCUUUUGACAUUAUAUAUUGUCCAUCUAGAUCUUAUUGAAAUGUAUAGUGCAAGAAUGGACGGAAGGUCUGCCAUCGCUUGUUUUCUGGUGAUGCUUGUGUUGUUCAAAAGCACAUCUGCAGUCUGUGAGUCGGUUCAAUUUCAGAUCUUGUUUUGCAUCCAAUCAUCAUGCGAGGAUACAUGCAAGUUUCAGUGGAGGCAAUGGAAGGGUUUGAAGGUCUACGAGCCUUGGUGCGAUAAGUUUUUUGGUGGCAACUGCCACUGCAAGAUUUGCCAUGAUGGAUAGAACUUAAUGGAUAUGCUAGGCGCACUUCAAGUUCGAAAUAAAUAAUUCCCCUGAAUCACUGAUUUAUACAUGGGAUUGUAUGCUUGGGAGAGCGCCAUGCCAUGUUUUGAGACACAGUCUAUACGGUCUCGUGAAAAAACUGCUUAAAGGCGAAUAUUAUAUAGUUA